UACGUAGGGGGCGAGCGUUGUCCGGAUUUACUGGGCGUAAAGCGCGUGUAGGCGGCGCCUUAAGUCAGGUGUGAAAGCCCGGGGCUCAACCCCGGAGUGCCGCCUGAACUGGGGUGCUUGAGGACGGAAGAGGGGAGUGGAAUUCCUGGUGUAGCGGUGAAAUGCGUAGAUAUCAGGAGGAACUCAGUGGCGAAAGACGGCUUCCUGGACCAGUACCGACGUCAGGCACGAAAGCGUGGGGAGCAAACAGGA
rnacentral:rRNA from 1 species